ACUCUUUAUCGAUAAUUGUUUUCAAAAAGUAAAGAAGCUUCUUGAAAUGAACUGGUGAGCUAAAAUGUGAUAACACAGAUAACCAUUAGUUAACGGAUUUUUUAACCAAUCUAUUCGAUCCUUUCUCUUGAAGCUAACAUUUCUAACCAGUUAUUUAAAUUUGUUUUAUUCAUGUUAAAUAUUCAUUGUAAUUUUCAGAUGGUGAUUAGUGAAUGCUGGUGUUCGAUCCAUCUUAUUUGAACCUGAUUUUGCUGUUGGUCAUUUUGGUUUGCUCCUGACUUGUAUAUCAUGAAUUCGUGAUUCUCUGUAUUUGAUGUUACUGUUUCAAGUGUGUAAUAAGUUUACUCUUUAUUCACCAUUUAAACUGGUUGAUUUAACAUUUUGAUUAAAAGUAAUUAAAUAGAUCAACGCAAGCUGAUGGGUAAGAUUGAUUCCGUUUUUUCCGGAUAAAGUGUGUUCAUUGGUAAAACGGAAAACGUCACGUGGCAAGGUCAAUAUUGAUGAAAUGGAUGAAAUGGAGAGAUGAAAGAAAGGAAGACAAAAGAUAGUCUCGUCCACAUCAUUCUGUAUCAUCAAUCCUCAAAUUAAAUGUGGUUUGUGAAAUGAUAACUGAUUCAUUGUUUUGCUUUUUUUCUCUUUUGUCACUAUUUUAGCUGAAUGACAAUCACAGUUAUGGUCAUCCUAUUGGUCAAUUGUGUAAAAGGCCACAUUUCGAUGACGAUGGGAAAAAGUUAAUGUAACCGGACUGACAAAAACAACACAAACGUGAACAAUUCUUACCAAAAAUCAAAGAUGUUUACCAGUUAUCUCUUUGCACUAUUCUUGGUAAAAGCUACUUCUCAUUCAUCUGGUUGAAUGUAUUCAGAAAUCUCUUCUUCAUCAACUUUGGAUUCAUUGAGUUGAGAAAAUAAAGCCAUUUUGGGACAACCUUCUCCACUAUUCACUGUGAUACUGUCCAUCAUGAUUACCGAGAGGUUAGAGGUUAAAUUAGGAAAAGGUAACAAAGCUGUAUGAAAAGAAGGAGGAAAAUACAGGAAGACUACAAAAGAGACAAACGUUGGAAAAAGGAUUUAGAGGAUAAAGAUGGCAUCGAGAACAGAUGACGAUAAGAGGAUAAAGUGUGGUAAUUUGUGAACUGGGCCAAUUCUCAGUGAGUUUGGUAAAGUUAAUCGAUGGAUAACAAUGUUAUUGGGUUAUCUUUCAAUGAGAUGUUUGUUUCAAGGUAUAUUGAAUACAAAUUUCUCACGGAAAUCAGUGCACUCUGUAUACAAGGAAACAGUAACCAACAGUAACAAAUUCCAGAAUAAUCCAGUAAUCAUAAUAUAAAGCCAUGUCAAGACAAGCAACGGAAGAAACCAUUCCCAUUUGUGGAGUAUCAAACGUUUUACCUGGCUGUUGCAUCUCUAGUCAUACAUGAUGGAAAAGUUUAAAGAGAUUUACAAUUAUGCAUGUCAACAGAUUGCCGAAGAAUUCAUUUUUUUGUUUUAAGGUAACAAAAAAAGACGCAACAUCAACAAUUUGCUGAAAAAAUGUGUGUUAAGCAAAAGAUUGUGACUCUCUCUCUCUCUGGCUUGACAACUUUUCCAGAAUCAUUUUUAGUUCUCUUCAUGGUUUUGCUCUUGCUGUCAAAUGAUGUUUUAACACAAGGUAAUAGGUAAAAAAAAGGAAAAAUAAUUAUCAUAAUAAUAAUGGUAAAGCUGACCGGAUGAUGAAAGGUAAACAAGAAAACCAACAAAUAUACAAAUAGCCGCAAGGUAAAGCUAUUGGUCUCUGCCUCUCUCAUCAGUUGAGAGUCAAUUUUCACGGUCUGGUCAUACAUUUUAAGAAAAGUUUCAUACCUUGCACCAUUGUACUGGUCGAGUUUCCCCCUUUACCUGGAAAUGCCAAUUUUUCAAGUUACUCUUAAAAUUGAUUAUUGUGAUUAACGCAUCUUUUGGCAAUAUUUGGAUUACUGUUAUGGAUCAAGAUGUAUGGUCAAACAAUUAACCAACCAAUUGUUUCUACUGACCAUUUUUAAAUCCCUAAUUUUAAAGGAGGAUAACCGCAAUGUUUGAUUUUCGGGCCAAGAUUCACAAUGAGUUGAGCUCUACAUCAACCGAAAGCUUGUGAUAAGUAAAGUCUUCCUAAAAAUCAGAUCAAAAUUCUUAUUCCCUGGCAAGUUAUUCUCCAAAUCUCCCUGGACCCCAUGAUGACCACAUUGGACUUGAAUUUUCAGAUUGAAAAUUUCAUUCUCAUCCCUAUGAUGCCAUGUUGCUCUAAACCUGUGGCUUUUUAAGACAAUCAAGCAUUUUUUACUCGAGCAUAUGGCCAAUGAAAUGGGAAAAGUAAAUAGCAAAACUAAGGAAACAAACAAGCAAACAAAACGAUUUGUUUACAUGCUCAACAUGAAGUUGAAACAACCACAUAAGCGUAUUAAAAAAGGUUAACAUGUAACAAAGUAUAGAGGUUACUGUAUCUCAAAGGACCACCAAGAAUUGGCCAAGAAGAAAAAAAGAGGAACCAGAGCAAAGAAAGGAAAAGAUAAAGAUAAAAAAAGAUGAAUGCCUGGAGGAAUUAUGAGCAAGGAAUAUUAAUUUCCCGAAAAACAAAAUGGUCAAAUAAGAGUAUACAAGUUAUUGGCUCAAUGAAGCUAUUAACUCAUCACUUAUCAAAGUAUCACUUCGUAGUAAUCAAUUUUUUUAAUUACCUUGAAUGAAUUUUUCCGUAACAGACUACAAUCAAAUUUAAGCUUAAAAGUGAAAGUCCUAUGUCGAUAUGUCAAUUGACUUGGAAGAUAAAGCUUACCAACCAGAAUGCCAGGAUACAAACAUGCCGUUAUAUCAAGAAAAGCAAGUGUUGCCGAUAAAAUAAGGACUAUUUUGUAGCAAUCGGGGUUAAGCCACUCUAGCCAUUAUCAAUAAAGAUCAAUUGAAGUAAAACGAACUAAUUGCCAUAUAACGUGAUCCGAUAUUGAAAAUAAACUUCCAGGCGUUGAUGGGUCAAGCUAUUCAAGAGCUAUAUCUGCACAAAAUUUCAGCCCUCUAUCCUGACCUGUUUACGAGGAAAAUAUUGAAAAAUUGGAAUGGAAGUGAAACUGUGGCCAUUUUACGGAAGUUUUGAAAAGCUCUAACAGGAUUCCCUUUCUUAAAAUUGGAUUAAUCUUCGCCUUUACGAGGGUCGAUUUUUGGUGCCACAGACACUCCUUUUGUCUUGUUGUUACACCAGAAUAAACAAGAUGAAAACAAAGCGAAACAUUGAAACCUAAAUUAAGUGCAAAGGCAACAAUCAACUAUCAACAUGGUUUUAAGUUGAUGGUAAAGCCUCACCUUAAUAUCAUCACCAAGGUAUAUCAUUUAACCUGAGAAGUCUGCUGUUGAAAGCAAAAUCCUUCAUGGUUAACGAUCAACUUUCGCCAGCUUGUUAACAGAUUUGAUAAAUUAUUAUCGUUAUUAUAUUUGUAGUUAGUUAGCAAGCCAGUGUCACGUGACUGUUAUCUUAAUAAACAGUAAAAACAAAAACAGCAAAAACUGAUUCAGGUUGCAACUCGUUUCAACAUUAUCAUCUCACCCAUGGUACCAAAUAGUUGUGAGCCUAAGCUGUGAACAUGUUAACAGACAUAUGUGAAUUGUAAUAAGCUGUUGAAUGGUCUCAUAAUAAACACGUAGCCAUUAUUAUUAUCAUAAGUUAAUUUUAGAGGGGAUAAGUGAAGAAACAAAAAUUAUUCACCUUUAAACACAAGUUACCUGAAAACCAGCACAAAUUAACUAAUAUCAAAUCCCGCCCAACUCGUUAAGGCGAUUUGAGUUGCGUUUUCCCGACUCUUCCUUCAGUGUUAACUUUCUUCACCUGGCUUCAUCAUCAUCAUCAUUACCAUCAUCCUCAUUCUCAUCUUACCUUUCAUGAUCAUAUCUUGGCAAAUUACCCUUAAUUAAUAAGUCCGAGGCAAAAAAAAGCAAAGUCUUGUUUGCAUUAAAUUUCAGAGAUUUGCUGUUUUCAAAUUUAAUCUGGUUGUGUGUCGACCAAAGGCUUUCAAGUGUAAACCUAAUAACUCGUCUCCUUCAAGUCAACAUUUUUUAAAUACAAGCUGACUUUUGUUUACUGUAUUGGAUGGUCAUUUUGAUUGGACCCUUGAAUGACUCUUGAGUUAUAUUCAAGGUUUAAUAAGCCAUCAACAUUAACAAUAAAUUUGAACAAUAAGGUGAACAAUAAAAGGUGUAAAAUAACAAUGUUAAACAUGGCUUUAAACCAUUGUUAACCCAUCAACUUGUAAACCACGACUUUUUGUUGCCUGUCAACUUAACAACCUUAUAAAUGUUGAUGAUCGGUUGACAGUUGUUGACUUAAAUUGUUUCACUUUGAUCAAAAUAUCUAAAUUGUUGGUAAAUAACUCGUCAAUUGUUGAUUUUGUUUUUCAACUGUAAACAUGAAGCCAAAAGAUUUAAUAAAAAGAUGAAAACAAAUGUAAAGCCAAUGGAUUCUCUUGUAAUUCAAGAUUAACCUAAAAAUUAACAUCACUUGACAUUAAAGUUGAUCAAUAAUUGGAUGUAAAA